GGACGGCAAAGCGAGCUACUAGCCAGUUGUUCAGGUCAAUGGUACUGGAGUCCGGAAUUUGGUCUCGUAACCGAUUAUAAUCCAGACCAGAUGUGAGCUCAUCUCUAAAUUUGAUUCGGCCAGCAAAAUAUACUUGAAUCGGCAGCUGACCCAUGCCGAAUUGACGUGCUGCAACGGAAGGAUUGUAGAACUCGUACGUAGGGGCGUCCUUCCCCGAGAAAAAGUUGGCUGGCAGGAGUCCUG
rnacentral:lncRNA from 1 species